UUGUUUGCAGCUCACGCGUUUUAUUACAACUGUUCGCAUAUAGUAUAGAUUUAUAAAUGCUAAGCCUUAGUCAACAACAAAAGUUGACAAUCGGAUAUAGGCAGUCAGUCAGUUUGGUUAUUUGGUUAGCUAAGUGUGCGAUUGCAUUUCUCAAACGUUAUAUUUAUUUGCUAUUAUUUGCAAAAAUAUGUAUAACUAGUUCUAGAACGAGUGCAAAAUGAAUUAUUUUAAAUUUUUUAAAUUGGAACUUACUAUUAAUUUCAAAAUCGUCUCUCUGAAACGUUAUUGUAAUGUAAAGCUACUUUCAGUUAAUUUAUUAAUAAUUAUUUCUUUGGUAUUGGUUUCAACCUUUUAAAGGUGAUAUAAACAAAAUCGGAAUUAUUCGUACUUAUGAAGAUCGUUUUAUAUUUGUUAUACCCAUUAUCAAAAAAGAUGGGGGUUAUUUUGAUUUUGUCAUUCCGUUUGUAACACAUCGAAAUAUUGAUCAUAGACCCACAAAAGUAUUUAUAUUCUGGAUCUUGAUUAAAUUCUAAAACAAUCAAACCAUGUCUGUCUGUUGAAAGCACGAGAGAGUCCGAACGGAAAGAGUUAGAGCUACACAAAUAUUCCCUAUAGGUCUGAACCAUAGAGAAGACUUAACGGCUGAAUUGUGAACUAUGAAGAAGAAUAAAAUCUAUUAAAUAUAACCUAUAUAGAGCAGACCAUAGUCUAGAUCUAUAGUCUGUAGAUCAUUGUAGACUAUAAAACAGACUGUAGUCGGGUCUAUUCAACGGGUCUUGGCAACAGAACAAACUAUAAUCUGGACAAUAGAGAACACUAUAAUUUGAACAAUAGAGCUGACUAUAGUUAUAAAAAGCUGAUAAUAGUUAUAAAAAGAUGACAAUAGUUAUAAAAAGCGGUCUAUAGUGUGAACAAUAAGAUAUACUAUAGGGCAGACUAUAGUGUGAACAAUAAGAUACACUAUAGGGCAGCCUAUAGUUUAGACUGAAUCAGACUAUAACUGUAGACUGUAGUCGGGACUAUAGAGCAGACUAUAGUCUUGACAACAAAGCAAACUGUAAUCUGAAGAAUAGAGAAGACUAUAGUCUGGACAAAAAGCCGACUAUAAUGUGGAUUAAAAAGCAAACUAUAAUGUGGGCUAUAAAGCAGACGAUGCCUCUCCCAAUAUGAGAAUAGUUAGGAAAAAAAGAGGAUACCAAUCGAACUGAAUGGUUCUAAAAUAUAGGCAGUCAUUGGAGCUUGACAUGAUGUAUCAUGACAAAAGUCAAUUUUUCGUUGGAAAUGCCUAAAUGUAUAGUUUUCUAAACAUCAUUUCAAAGGAACAGUCACAGAACUUUUGCUUUAAAUAUAUCUCUGACGGGGAAAAGUAUUUUUUAAAAAGAAUUUCAAAUGUUUUGGAAAUCUUUUUUGGCUUUAUUCUAAACUAAAUCAUUGUACAACGCAGUUCAAUUCCAUUCUACAAAUGUUUUAUACAUUUUGUCACAAGCAAACAAUCAAUCCCAAUACAACUUCAACUUAAUAUAUAGAGCACUGGAAGUGAAUCAAGACGCCACUUAAAAAAACAAAAAUAACGAAUAAAUAAAAAUGUGUAAAUGUAUUAAAAUUUGUUUGAAUUAUAAAAAAGCGGAAAUCAAAAUGGCUGUCAGCUACAAAACUGCAUGACGGGUCAAACAAAAUAUAUAUAUAUAUAUAUAAAAAUGACAAAAUAUUUUAUGAUAAUUUCUAUGAUCUUUUUACAGCCAUGAGUAAGAUUAUCUUGUUGUAGCCGCCUUAAAAGCAAAGAAAAACUAAUAUAUUGAAUUAUGUAAAUAAUGAUAAGAAAAAUGAAAUAAAUAUAAAAAAUGUUAGGUGAAGAAUCCCGCUUUAAGAUGACAAUCGAUAAUCGGUAACUAAAGUCAACUUUACGUUAUAUGCGAUUUACUCAAAUUUCGAGAUUUUUGAACUGAACUGAUAUUUUGCUGUAAAUGGUAAAAAGUUUACAAGUAAAUAGUAUAUAGAUGAAGUCCGGUUUAAAAGUUAUUUUAAAAAUAGCAAUUUUUUUUAAAUCAAAACAUCCUUUUUGGAUCUAUGAUAUGAUCUUUAAAAAUGAUAGAAAAUAAU